rnacentral:rRNA from 1 species
AUUGAACGCUGGCGGCAUGCCUUACACAUGCAAGUCGAACGGCAGCACGGACUUCGGUCUGGUGGCGAGUGGCGAACGGAUGAGUAAUAUAUCGGAACAUACCUUGUAGUGGGGGAUAACUAUCCGAAAGGAUAGCUAAUACCGCAUACGCUCUAAGGAGGAAAGUGGGGGAUCGCAAGACCUCAUGCUAUAAGAGUGGCCGAUAUCUGAUUAGCUAGUUGGUGAGGUAAAGGCUCACCAAGGCAACGAUCAGUAGCUGGUCUGAGAGGACGACCAGCCACACUGGAACUGAGACACGGUCCAGGCUCCUACGGGAGGCAGCAGUGGGGAAUUUUGGACAAUGGGGGCAACCCUGAUCCAGCAAUGCCGCGUGAGUGAAGAAGGCCUUCGGGUUGUAAAGCUCUUUUGUCAGGGAAGAAACGGUUGUGGCUAAUAUCCAUGGCUAAUGACGGUACCUGAAGAAUAAGCACCGGCUAACUACGUGCCAGCCGCCGCCGUAAGAC